rnacentral:rRNA from 1 species
UAAUACAGAGGGUGCAAGCGUUGCUCGGAAUUAUUGGGCGUAAAGGGUAGGUAGGUGGUCUGAUUUGUCUGUUGGUGAAAUCCCGGGGCUUAACUCCGGAAGUGCCACAGAAACGGUCAGACUUGGAGUACUGGAGAGGUGAGCGGAAUUCCCGGUGUAGCGGUGAAAUGCGUAGAGAUCGGGAGGAACACCAGAGGCGAAGGCGGCUCACUGGACAGUUACUGACACUCAACUACGAAAGCGUGGGGAGCAAACAGGAUUAGAUACCCUGGUAGUCCACGCCGUAAACGAUGGGUACUAGCUUUGGCGGGUCUUGACCCCUGCUGAAGCGGAGCUAACGCACUAAGUACCCCGCCUGGGAAGUACGGUCGCAAGACUA